rnacentral:hammerhead_ribozyme from 1 species
GUACUGCUGAGGAGUCCCACAAUAGGUCGGAACGGCCGUCCAGUAC